rnacentral:rRNA from 1 species
AUCCUACGGGAGGCAGCAGUGAGGAAUAUUGGUCAAUGGGAGAGAUCCUGAACCAGCCAAGCCGCGUGAGGGAAGACGGCCCUAUGGGUUGUAAACCUCUUUUGUCGGAGAACAAAACCCGGGACGAGUACCGGACUGCGUGUAUCCGAAGAAAAAGCAUCGGCUAACUCCGUGCCAGCAGCCGCGGUAAUACGGAGGAUGCGAGCGUUAUACGGAUUUAUUGGGCUUAAAGGGGGCGUAGGCGGUGGGUUAAGUCAGCGGUAAAAUUGCGGGGCUCAACCCCGUC